UACGAGGGGGGCAAGCGUUGUUCGGAAUUACUGGGCGUAAAGGGCUCGUAGGCGGCCAACUAAGUCAGACGUGAAAUCCCUCGGCUUAACCGGGGAACUGCGUCUGAUACUGGAUGGCUUGAGGUUGGGAGAGGGAUGCGGAAUUCCAGGUGUAGCGGUGAAAUGCGUAGAGACCCGGAGGAACACCAGUGGCGAAGGCGGCUUCCUGGUCUGCGACUGACGCUGUGGCGCGAAAGCUAGGGGAGCAAACGGG
rnacentral:rRNA from 1 species